rnacentral:rRNA from 1 species
GAUACCCUAUUAUUUUAAGUGUGAAUUUAUUAGCUGGAAUUAUUGUUAGUUUCGUUCUUUAAAGUUAAAUGUUUUGGCGGUAUUUUAGUCUUUUCAGAGGAACCUGUUCUGUGAAUGAUAAUCCACGAUGAUUUUUACUUUAUCUUUAAAUUUGCAUAUCGUCGUUAAGUAAAUAUUUUACAAGAAUUUUAAUGUUUAGGAUUUUUAAUUAUAAAAUAGUUCAGAUCAAGGUGUAGUUUAUGAUAAAGAAAGAAUGGGUUACAUUAUAAUUAUAUGUGGUUUUUUGUUUUUAAAACAAUAAUAGAAUGGAUUUGAAAGUAAUUAUUACAUCUAUAUAUGAUGAUUAAGCUCUAAAAUAUGCACACAUCGCC